rnacentral:lncRNA from 1 species
GUGUGACUUUUUCAGAAGGUGAGUUACGCGUUCCGGGCAGUCAGUGCACUGCUCAGCAGGAGGAGGUCCUGCAGGUGGUGCUGCAAGGGGUCGGCUGGCCGCAGGGGGACUGCACAGACACAGGCUGGCAGCAGGUGGUGGCUCAGCAGGAGGAGGUCCUGCAGGUGGUGGCUCAGCAGGAGGAGGUCCUGCAGGUGGUGCUGCAAGGGGUCGGCUGGCCGCAGGGGGGCCGGCAGCAGGGGGACUGCACAGACACAGGCUGGCAGCAGGUGGUGGCCCAGCAGCAGGGCCUGCACACC